CUGCUGGUUCGCUCGCCGGCGGGGAGGUUGGCGGUGACGCGGGGCUCCGGGCGAGCACCUGCUCGGGAGGGGAUCGAGGAGGCAGCGGGUGAGGUGGAGUUGGAUCGAGGGUUGCUCUGGUUGGCCGGGCGGAUCGAGGGGAGGCCUCGAGUGCUGGUUGGGUGAGAAGGGGAUCUGGGAGGAUCCCGAGGAAGAAGAUGGGUGAUGAGACAGGGGCGGCGGCUGGGAGGAUGGGACAAGGCUCCUAAAUUUUAGGGUUAGGCAGGUAGGUGGUCUAUUUAUAGAUAGAGGAGAAGGUUUAGGGUCUCACUAAUUUAGAUCCGACGGUCAGAAAAUUAGGUUAGGGAAAAUUAGAUAAGAAACUGAAGAUAUUUUAGGACUAUUUGGAGAUGAUCCGAACCUAGCGACAGCCCGGGUCGGGUUUGGGUAAGUUUCAGACGAGCAAGCGAGGGGUCAAAGCACUGUGCAAGGAGGGGUUAGGUGGUUUGACAAGAGGGAAUCGAAAACACGGUUGGUCUAGGAACGGUCAACAAAGGCAAGGGGGACGCGGCAACUACGAGCGGAUGCAAGUUUUAGAAAACAUGUGAUGCAAUGCUCAUGAUGACAUGAUGAAUGCAACAAACAAAAUAAAACACACGGCGAACACGAAAAACAUGGAGGGCGUCUGAAGCAUCGGUCUCAGGGCGUUACAACACUCCACCACUACAAGAGGAUCUCGUGCCGAGAUCUAGGGAUGGCACCGGAGAGAAACAGAAGUGGAAGAGGUAAAACAAAUUGCUUCUUUGACAAAUGAGUGAAACCAAAGAACCUUCGAGGUUGAACAAAUUUAAAGAAGGAAUAAAACGAAGGUGAACAAAGUUGAAAACACUCCGUUAGAAAAAAAGGAACAAGGAACAAUACGGGAACCUUGUAGGUUGAAAGACAUAAGAAAAAGGGUUGCAAUGGCCAAGAAGUGCAUGCAAGCACUCCGGUUGAAACGAGAUGUACAAGGAACGAUAAAGAUCAAUUACGACAACACUCCGGUACAAGAUAGAGAAGGAAUAAGAGUGAUAUAAUUUGGACAGCACUCCGACUGUAAAUGGAAGGAAUUGAACAUGAACUUGACAAGACGAGGCGAUGGGUGAAAGAGAGCAACAUCACCAUGCCUCGGGAAGAGAUGAAAGAAUGGAAUGGAAUGAACGGAGAGAAACAAGAUCUUGAAAGAGCACACUUACAAGAAAUGCUAGAACGGAGUUGUUGGAUUAUCAACAACGAAAGGAUAAGCUUGUUGUGGGCUUAUGGAAAACAACUCAAAACUAUGAGGUGAAGACCAACCACUAACAGAAUCAAUUAAUUGCUUGAGAGCAACACGGAGAUGAAAACUCUUUCACCGAGAAGAGAAGGAGAAACUUGGAUCAUUGAUGAGCACCAAAAGUAGCAACAUUCCCAAAGGAAGGCUUUAGGUGAAAUCUUUACAAAGAAUACUCCAAUGGAGAAACGAUGGGUUUAAAUAUCUCAUGCUCGAAAACUUGUGAAUCAUGAAACACAAAGAAAUUGUCAAAAAUGACAUAACACCACCUCAAAUGAUAAGGUAGAACGAAUUGCACUUCGGAAUGCAAGAUGAAGAAUACUUGAACUCCUCAAAACAAGACAUGUGUUGAACACCAUGUUUGUUUAGAGUAUAGCUUUGCGGAUCAUAACUUCGAGAGAAAUCUUGAAGAACAAUUGAAGAAUGAAAGGAAUCCUUGACGAACCACCAUGUCGAGCCUCCAUGAAUAACUCUGGUAAUGAAAAGAUGAUGAAAAGAAAGAGAAGUUGAGAACACAAGGAGAAACCUUGCGAUCAUUUAGAUGGAGCUUCGCGAUGAGAUAAUGCGGAAAACUUGAAACUCCGGAAAGAAAGAUGAACAAUUGAAACCAAGAAUUUUUUGAUGAACUUCCGGAAUAAGGAAUUGAAUCACCUUGAGGAAAACAAGAAUAAGGUUUAUUGUAUGUUUAUCCUCCAUCAACUUAAAUUGAUGACAAACAAUGGAUUUUUGGCAUACUACUCAUUCUCAUUGAAAAAGGCUUGAAGAGAGAUAUUGCUCAAUUUGGGAAAUUCUUCAACGAUCCGCCGGUAGGAUUUGGAAAGAACGAAUGAAUUGAUAUGAUAACCAAGAAAGAGAACUCUUGAACGAACGACCGUAAGAAUUGGAAAUGAGAGUAGCAAAGGCACAAUUCACCGGAAGAAUUAGAAAAUGAAUAAAGAUACUUGAAAGAAUUUAGAUACAAGUGAACGAAGAGAUCACGAGUUGAUUAGAGAAUACUUGAACGAUGCACCGGUAAGAUUUGGAGAUCGAGAGCUGAAAACUAAGAAUGAAUAAACCCGAAAUGAUGGCCUUCGUAGGAAUAAAAUGGAAAGGAUUCACGAAAUGCUCCGGGUUGUAAGAAAAUAAUUGUCACAAUCAAAAACAAUUAUGAGGAUGGCAACAAGCUAGAACCAUGAAUCUUUGGAAGAACGGGUAAGGAUUUAAGAGGAACUCUUCUUCGGUCUUCAAAUCCGAAAAUGACGACGAGAAACACCACCAUGAAUUGUUGAGGCACUCCGGAAUAAAAAUUAGAAAGCUUGAACCAGCGAUGAAAAGAAUUUGGAAGAUCUUGGAGAAAGACAUUUGACUGAUGAGAAUUCAUUCUUACGUCAAACUUCGAAAUUAAUUGAGAAUAACACCGGAAAAGUUAGAAGAGUUAGGUAAGAUCCUGGGAAAAGACCUGUGGGUUAGGGCCCACUCAAAGAAACACCUUUCGAAAAUUUUGCUUGAAAGAUAUUGCACCGGUUGAAUUAAAUGCCUUGAAUGAGAUAUCAACCUCGAAAUAGCUUGAACAAAUUAGGAAUGGAAAUGUGAAUCUUCUGAGAUAACUUUAAGCACUCCAGAGAAGAAAUAGAGGGAGGUGAAUAAUUAAGAGGUGCACCCACAUGACAAAGCAAUUGACACGAGGGAAGGAAUAUGAUCAACACUGAAAGCUUGAAUUGAAUCCACCGAAGAAGAAGAUGAGAACGAAGACAGAUGAACUUGAAGCUCCUAAGCAUCUUCAUGAGAAUCACCGGCUAAGAACAUUGACGGAAAAGAAUGGGGAGACUUCUCAUCAAUAAAAGGAUACUUGAUUAAAUUUUUUGUCUCCAUGAAGAAAAAGGGUGGGAGGGUGGGAAAAACAAAGACAACUUGGGACGAAUGGAACAAACACCGUUGAGAAGAACUGAAAUUUGAUCUCGCGAAUGUUGAAAAUGAUCGGAUCCACUUGAAGAGAAAGCACACCGGUUGGAAAAGAAUUGACAUGACACUCUCGAUGAUAAAGAAGGAUUAGCACUCCCAUAGAAAUAUGAGAGCACCGUUUCGAAUAAGGUAUGGAAUCAACACUUGACAUCGAAGCAACACGAAUACCACAACAAAAACAAAACAAGGAUUUGGUUCGCAGAAUAAGCCGGAAACAAACAUAUGAUAGAGAUUUCGUCCGAAGUUUUCGUGGUGGGGCCCACACGGGCUCGAUCGUACAGCACCAUCAUGUACAAGGCAGUGCACAUGACAUACGAAGCGUCCCCGAGUCAGCAUAGCCAAGGACUCUUUAAGACACAACGAGACCACUGUAAAACCAACCGUGGAUAGGCGGACCACUAGACGUCGAACCCCAAUCUCAUAUGAUGCAUCUGUCGGAAAGAUAUCCUAGGGGCUACUUGAAUUCCCACCUAUAAACUCCCGAAACUUUCUGGUUAUGCAAUCUGGUGUUGGGGAUACAGGGGAAGCAAUAUAUAUCUCACCCAAACUAACAAUUCCUACAUCCAGCUGUAUCCAUCCGUCAACACAUAACCAAGAAAACUCCGGAAAUCGUGUACCUCAACCUUCGAAAAGCAUCCGUUAUACAAGUUAUGGCAAUACUCCCGAACUCCCGCCCCAGUACUGGGUGACGUCGAGGUUAUCUCACCAACAACUGCAUAAAAGAGAUUUUCGAUGUUGACGAAAAAAAACUCAGGUAUUCCAGAACUGCAACGAUAAAAUUGUGACGACAACACCUCGGAGCUCAACUCCCCGGGACAUUGCCACAACCCCUAAAUGUCAGGAGGCACCAAGAACAAUGUUCUCGUCACAAAACCAUCGAAACGAUUCCAAGAUACCCGCGUGAUCCUAAAUUUUUUUUAGUGAAAUUUGAGGAGAGGAAAGUCAAAACAUCUACGUCAGGAGGCCUCACCAGAGCGACGAAGGGACUGAGGAGUAAAAAGAAUCCUACUCUCCGAUAUAUAUAAUCCUAAGACUCAAAACAUUUUUGUUCUAGACUCAACAACGCCAGCGAUUCAAUCAAGCAGGGGCUCCUAAGUCGGGGAUGGCUCUGAUACCAACUUGUAACACCCACGAUGCGGCUAUAUCUCUCACAUGUCAAGACACGACUUAGAGGCAUAACCGCAUUGUAGGUUUUGUCGCAAGAAGGGUCAUCUUCACACAAUCCCAUGUAAUGAACAAGAAUGGGAUAAAGAGUUGGCUUACAAUCGCCACUUCACACAAUACAUAAAUAAAACAUACAUCAUUCAGAGUACACACAUAGGCCGACUACGGACAAAUCCAAAUAAAAAGAAGAUAACCCAACUGCUAGAUCCCGAUCUUCCCCAACUGGGCAUCACUACUGAUCAACAUGAAAAUAAACAUAGAAACGACCAAGUCUCUCGUCGAAACCCGACUUGAGUUCGGCAGCAUCACCUGCGCUGGUAUCCUCGGCACCUGCAAUUAUUUUUGUAGUAAUAUGUGAGCCACAAGGACUCAGCAAUCCCAUUACCAUGGGUAACAAGACUAGCAAAGCUUAAUGGGAAAGGAAGGGGUAAAGUGGUGAGGUUGCAGCAGCGGCUAAGCAAGUAUGGUGGCUAUCAUACGCAAAUAAGAGCGAGAAGAGAAGCAAUGGAACGGUCGUCAACUAGUAAUGAACAAGAAGUGAUCCUGAACUCCUAUUUACGCCAAGCAUAACCCAAGGACCGUGUUCUCCUCUCGAACAACCCCGAAAGAGAGACAAUCACAGUUACGCACACGGUUGGUGUAUUUUAGAAAAGAUUACUUCAAGUUUACUACAACCGGAUAUUAACAAAUUCCCAUCUGCCACAUAACCGCGGGCACGGCUUUCGAAAGUUCAAAACCCUGCAGGGGUGUCCCAACUUAGCCCAUGAUAAGCUCUCACGGUCAACGAAGGAUAUUCCUUCUCCCGGGAAGACCCGAUCAAUCUCGGAAUCCCGGUUACAAGACAUUUCGACAAGUUAAAAUAAGACCAACAAAGCCGCCCGGCGUGUCGACACCCUGAUAGAAGCCGCACGUAUCUCGUUCUCAGGACACGACCGGAUGAGUCAAGCUACGAGUAAAACCAGCCCUCAAGUUUCCCCGAGGUGGCCCCGCAGGUUGCUCGGUUCGGACCAGCACUUAGAGAAGCACUGGCCCGGGGGGGGCUAAAUAAAGAUGACCCUUGAGUCUGCAGAACCCAAGGGAAAGGUAUAGGUGGUAGGUAGGCAAAUGGUAAAACCAAAGUUAGGCCUUGCUGGAGGAGUUUUAUUCAAGGCGAACUGUCAAGGGGGUCCCAUAAAUCACCCAACCGUGUUAGGGACGCAAAAAUCUGGGAACAUAAUACCGAUAUGACGGAAACUAGGGUGGCAAGAGUGGAACAAGACACUAGGCAAAAGGCCGAGCCUUCCACCCUUUACCUAGUAUAUAGAUGCAUUAAUAAUAUAAGAGAUAUUGUGAUAUCCCAACAUAAACAUAAACCAACAUGGAGCAAACUUCAUCUUCACCUGCAACUAGCAACGCUAUAAGAGGGGCUGAGCAAAAGCGGUAACAUGGCCAAACAACGGUUUGCUAGGACGGGUGAAAAAGGUUAGAGGUUCAUGGCAAUUUGGGAGGCUUGAUAAGCAAGUGGUAGGUAACGCGGCAUAGCGAUAGAACGAAGCAACUAGUAUAGCAAUGAGAUCCAAGGUGACGGUCAUCUUGCCUGAAAUCCCGCUUGGAAGAAGAACGAGUCCAUGAAGCAGACAAACGGGCGGAGUCGAACGAAUCCUCACAACUCCGGAACGAAACCGUAGCUAACAAGAGAAGCAAACCGGAAAGGAGCAAACAACAUAGUAAACAAUCAUCACAUAAACAUGGCAUGAUGCACAAUCAAGUAUGAUGCAUGUCCGGUUUAAGGAGGCAUGGCAUGACAAAGUGCACAAAACAAAACUACAAAUUAAGUGGAGCUCAAUAUGCAACGAGUUGCAUAUUGCCGAAACACCACAUUCAAGUUAUUUAGUUCGCUCUCGGUUAUGUACCCAACAAUAUUAAAAGUUAUUAAACAUGGCAAGGGGUGAAGCAUAAUAAAUCUAUCUAUUUAAGUAAGUUUAAAUGAGGCCGGAAAUAACAAACAACAAGUCCGGUAAAUCCUCAUGUGCAUAUUUUUGAUUUGGUACUGUUCUGCCCUAAAUCAUAUUUUAAUAUUGUUAAACAGUAAAACAAAGUGCAUCAAGUUAAUCUAUGCAUUUUCCACCCCAUUUACAUAUAAAGUUUAUUAAAAUCGGAGUUACGGUUAUUUAGUUAUGAAAUAAAUCAUUUUCAUGGCAAUUUGAGCAAAUUUAAACAAACAACAUUUUAAGCAUUUUAAACAUGGAUGAAAGCAACAUAUUAUGAAACUAGAUGAAAUUCUAAGCAUUUUACAUAUAUAAUUCAUUUUAAUAUGAUGCACGGAUGUGGAGUUAUUAAUGCAUGAACAUUAAGGGGUUUUCUGAAAAACUGCAGUUCCUGGGAAAAUAGCUAAAAUCGCAACAGAGGAAAAAAACGCAUCGGGCCGAAUCUGGGACGGAUUGGGUGCAGGACUGUGGGUGGCUCACCAUGGGCCAAGCCCAGUUCGGUGGGGAGGAGGAUGGGCAGGCCGCGAAGGGGCGCGCUGGGCCUUGGCGCGGAGGAGGCCGACCCGUGGUUGCAGCCCAUGUGAGCAGCCGAAUCGGUCAACAGGCGAAGGGGCGGGCGAGCUGCUGCUGCUCAUCUCUGAAGAACAGAACCAACAGCAGGUUCAGGGCGACGGACGGCGAGAUGGUGGGGUCGACAGGCGCGAGAAGCAGCGGGUCGGCGAGGCAACCGGCGACGGGGAGAGCUUGGCCGGAUCCGAACAAGGAGGCAGGCCGGCGGCAGGGCAAACGGCGGCGGCUUGGCGAGGGACUUGGCGCUGGAGCUUCAGACGAAGCAGGGCGCGACAGCAGCAGCACGAGGGCGCGAAACAGAGGCAACGGCGGCGGCUUGGCGAGGGACUCGGCGCGACGACGGCGAACUUGGCGCGGCGGAGCUUGCUGCUGGCGAUGCGGGGCGACGGCCGCGAUCAACGCGAGACGCGGGCGAGCGGGCGCCUCGUCCUCUGCUCGUCAGGAAGCAGAGCAGCGGCGGCGUCUUGGCACGACUCCACGUCGGCGCCGGGGACGGGGAAACGGGCGGAGGUGGCCGGAGGAGCGCGAAACGGCGAAUCCACGUCGGAUCCAGGCGGUGGAGGUGGCUGACAGCAAAGCUUCAAGGCGACGGAGCUUCGUCCUGGGGCAGAGAGGAAAAGAGAGAGUUGAGAGAGGGGAAACGCAGGGAGGAAACGGAAGGUGAAGAAAAAGGGAGGUGGCCGGCGCUCAUCUGGUUGGCUGCUGGUUCGCUCGCCGGCGGGGAGGUUGGCGGUGACGCGGGGCUCCGGGCGAGCACCUGCUCGGGAGGGGAUCGAGGAGGCAGCGGGUGAGGUGGAGUUGGAUCGAGGGUUGCUCUGGUUGGCCGGGCGGAUCGAGGGGAGGCCUCGAGUGCUGGUUGGGUGAGAAGGGGAUCUGGGAGGAUCCCGAGGAAGAAGAUGGGUGAUGAGACAGGGGCGGCGGCUGGGAGGAUGGGACAAGGCU
rnacentral:lncRNA from 1 species